CAGUGUCAGGGUCUGGGGCUUCCAGGGUGGAUGACACACAGCCCUUCUGAGGUCUGAUGGUCUCCUGCAGCCCCUGUGGACUUAGAGUGAGAAGGUAUCUUUUUAUAUAAACCACUUCUCAGUCAUCUUCCUGUUCUCCUUGAGCUUCCCAGCUGCCUUUCCAACCCAUGUUUUCACUCCCAUUUUUCUCUCCAAUCCACCCUUUGGUUUGUGUUGUAUCUCUUUCUUCUGCUUCCUGCCCCCUCCUACCCACAUUAGUCUCUGUUUAUUUUCUGUAGCUAUAGCUUCAGAAUAAUUUUUACUUGCAAGACAAUGGACACAUUCUUCUUGGGCUUUUUGUAAUUGAAACGCACCACAGAAGACAGGGAGUCAUCGAAGGGCUGCUCGGGGAGGUGGCAGGGCGGAGGACCUGCUUGGGAAGAAACUCCAAGAAGAUUGGAAUGCUUCCAAAGCAAGGAUCUUUCUCAGUGAAAUCUCAUUAUACAAAGAGAACCUUAUGCAACCUGACAAACCACUGAGGUCAUGGUGACUCAGUGAUCAGCAGAUGGUACUUCAACAGCAAUCCCCUGUCAAACCUCAGAACUUGAGGCUGAAACAUUGUUUCCACCCACCAUCAGUGAAGAUGUAACUAGCAUGUUACAAGAGUGAAUAAUCUGGACUUCAGAGAUUAAGUCACCAAUAGUGAUCCCACAAGCACUCACUGGAACUCCUAUAAUGUCUCCACUUUGUCCAUGCCAUUUAGCAAUCUCAUCUCCUAGAUGGACUGUGCCUAUGAUUCUUAAGGAGAAAGUGAAUCAUUGCCUUCUUUCCUGUAGCCUAGCAUGGAAAAUCUGACCAGACCCCAUUUUGAGAAGGUCAGCCCACCCUGGAAUGAACUUUUUACAUUAGGGCAUUUGUAUUUCCCUCACAAUACUUGCCACAUUACUUGGCAUAGGAGAGACGCUUAGUGUAAUUAUGAGUUAACAAGACUUUGGAUCAGGGCUUGACUCAUGAUAGACAAAGUAUAUGCCUGCUGGAUGGAAGAAUCUCUUGGGUAAGCACCAUUUUUCUUUCUAUCACCUUUCCUUGAAAAUACAUCUUCAGUUUUGGGUAGGAGGAAUCUUGGUGUAUGAAAUCAUUGCAAAUUUACUUCAUCUUUUCUGGAGUUUGAGGUUGUGACUCUCCUGCUACCAAUUAAAUAAAGCUUACUUUGCCAUAA